CGACGAACGUCUGUUGUUAUGCGUACUGC
rnacentral:sRNA from 1 species